rnacentral:piRNA from 1 species
UGAAAUAAGACAGCUCCACACGGC